CCUAAUUUUUGAAGUUUUUUUCUUAGAAAUUUUACUGGAUCCAAAAUAAAACAAGAAGAUCAUGAGUCCAGAAUUCUCUUUUCUCAACACUAGAUGGCAGUAGAGUUAAAGAAAAAAAUCCCAGCAGUUCUUUGUACAGGGAUUUGGUGAUUUUUCCCAUAAAGCUGCGAUGAGGAUGAACUCAGAGCAAAAUCUAU
rnacentral:lncRNA from 1 species